rnacentral:rRNA from 1 species
AGGAUUAACGCUGGCGGCGUGCCUAACACAUGCAAGUCGAACGAGGUAGCAAUACCUAGUGGCAGACGGGUGAGUAACGCGUGGUCAACCUACCGUUGAGUGGGGGAUAACGUAGCCGAAAGGUUAGCUAAUACCGCAUACGUCUCCGAGGGGCAUCCCUUGGCGAUAAAAGGAGCAAUCCGCUCGAUGACGGGACCGCGUCCCAUUAGCUAGAUGGUGGGGUAACGGCCUACCAUGGCACCGAUGGGUAGCUGGUUUGAGAGAGCGACCAGCCACACUGGGACUGAGAAACGGCCCAGACUCCUACGGGAGGCAGCAGUGAGGAAUUUUCCGCAAUGGGCGCAAGCCUGACGGAGCGACGCCGCGUGUGGGAAGAAGGCCUUCGGGUCGUAAACCACUGUCGAAGGGGACGAUAAUGACGGUACCCUUGGAGGAAGCCCCGGCUAACUACGUGCCAGCAGCCGC